GGUGGCUUAGUGGUAGAGCUCUUGCCUUGCAUGCAUGAGGUUCUGGGUUCAAUUCCUCAGCACCA
rnacentral:tRNA from 1 species